AACGCAUAUUGCGCCCUCUGGUAUUCCGGGGGGCAUGCCUGUUCGAGCGUCAUUAAUACCCUCAAGUAAUAAAACUUGGUAUUGGGCUUUCGUCUUAAUUUGACGGGCCUAAAAAUUAGUGGCGAUGCCUUUUAGGCCUUUCAAGCGUAGUAAAAGAUUUUUCUCGUCUUGAAAAAUAGGUUUAAAAAGUUUUAUCUGCCAAAAAAAAAAAUUUUUUUUUUUUUAAAGGUUGACCUCGAAUCAGGUAGGAAUACCCGCUGAACUUAA
rnacentral:misc_RNA from 1 species